rnacentral:rRNA from 1 species
UACGGGGGGGGCAAGCGUUGUUCGGAAUUACUGGGCGUAAAGGGCUCGUAGGUUGCCAACUAGGUCAGACGUGAAAUCCCUCGGCUUAACCGGGGAACUGCGUCUGAUACUGGAUGGCUUGAGUUCGGGAGAGGGAUGCGGAAUUCCAGGUGUAGCGGUGAAAUGCGUAGAUAUCUGGAGGAACACCGGUGGCGAAGGCGGCAUCCUGGACCGACACUGACACUGAGGAGCGAAAGCCAGGGGAGCAAACGGG